GAGUUUGAUCCUGGCUCAGAUUGAACGCUGGCGGCAUGCCUUACACAUGCAAGUCGAACGGCAGCACGGGAGCUUGCUCCUGGUGGCGAGUGGCGAACGGGUGAGUAAUGCAUCGGAACGUAUCCUGGAGUGGGGGAUAACGUAGCGAAAGUUACGCUAAUACCGCAUGUUCUGUGAGCAGGAAAGCGGGGGACCUUCGGGCCUCGCGCUCUUGGAGCGGCCGAUGUCGGAUUAGCUAGUUGGUGAGGUAAAGGCUCACCAAGGCGACGAUCCGUAGCAGGUCUGAGAGGAUGAUCUGCCACACUGGAACUGAGACACGGUCCAGACUCCUACGGGAGGCAGCAGUGGGAAUUUUGGACAAUGGGGGCAACCCUGAUCCAGCCAUGCCGCGUGAGUGAAGAAGGCC
rnacentral:rRNA from 1 species